rnacentral:rRNA from 1 species
GACCCCAGGUCAGGGGGGGCCACCCGCCGAGUUUAAG